AGUCGAACGGUAACAGGUUAAGCUGACGAGUGGCGAACGGGUGAGUAAUAUAUCGGAACGUGCCCAGUCGUGGGGGAUAACUGCUCGAAAGAGCAGCUAAUACCGCAUACGACCUGAGGGUGAAAGCGGGGGAUCGCAAGACCUCGCGCGAUUGGAGCGGCCGAUAUCAGAUUAGGUAGUUGGUGGGGUAAAAGCCUACCAAGCCAACGAUCUGUAGCUGGUCUGAGAGGACGACCAGCCACACUGGGACUGAGACACGGUCCGGACUCCUACGGGAGGCAGCAGUGGGGAAUUUUGGACAAUGGGCGCAAGCCUGAUCCAGCAAUGCCGCGUGCAGGAAGAAGGCCUUCGGGUUGUAAACUGCUUUUUGUCAGGGAAAGAAAUCUUCUGGGCUAAUACCCCGGGAGGAUGACGGUACCUGAAGAAUAAGCACCGGCUAACUACGUGCCAGCAGCCGCGGUAAU
rnacentral:rRNA from 1 species